GAUGAACGCUGGCGGCGUGCUUAACACAUGCAAGUCGAACGGAAAGGCCCAAGCUUGCUUGGGUACUCGAGUGGCGAACGGGUGAGUAACACGUGGGUGAUCUGCCCUGCACUUCGGGAUAAGCCUGGGAAACUGGGUCUAAUACCGGAUAGGACCACAUUUUGGAUGGUGUGGUGGAAAGUUUUUCGGUGUGGGAUGAGCUCGCGGCCUAUCAGCCUGUUGGUGGGGUAAUGGCCUACCAAGGCGUCGACGGGUAGCCGGCCUGAGAGGGUGUACGGCCACAUUGGGACUGAGAGACGGCCCAGGCUCCUACGGGAGGCAGCAGUGGGGAAGAUUGCACAAUGGGCGCAAGCCUGAUGCAGCGACGCCGCGUGGGGGAUGACGGCCUUCGGGUUGUAAACUCCUUUCGCUAGGGACGAAGCGUUAUGUGACGGUACCUGGAGAAGAAGCACCGGCUAACUACGUG
rnacentral:rRNA from 1 species